GGCCAGGUGGUUCAGUAGGUUAGAGCGUUGUCCUGACAUGGCAAAAUUGCCAGUUCAAUCCCUGGUCA
rfam:Myotis brandtii contig285239, whole genome shotgun sequence.